UACGGGGGGGGCAAGCGUUGUUCGGAAUUACUGGGCGUAAAGGGCUCGUAGGCGGCCAACUAAGUCAGACGUGAAAUCCCUCGGCUUAACCGGGGAACUGCGUCUGAUACUGGUUGGCUUGAAUCCGGGAGAGGGAUGUGGAAUUCCAGGUGUAGCGGUGAAAUUCGUAGAUAUUCGCGAGAACACCAGUGGCGAAGGCGGCUCACUGGCCCGAUACUGACGCUGAGGCACGAAAGCGUGGGGAGCAAACAGG
rnacentral:rRNA from 1 species